UACGUAGGCAGCAAGCGUUGUUCGGAGUUACUGGGCGUAAAGAGUGCGUAGGCGGUCCUGUAAGUUUGGUGUGAAAUCUCCCGGCUCAACUGGGAGGGUGCGCCGAAAACUGGAAGGCUAGAGUGCGGGAUGGGUAAGUGGAAUUCCUGGUGUAGCGGUGAAAUGCGUAGAUAUCUGGAAGAACACCGGUGGCGCAAGCGGAUUGCUGGGCCAUAACUGACACUGAGGAACGAAAGCUAGGGGAGCGAAUGGG
rnacentral:rRNA from 1 species